AGACGUCCGAUUUUCA
rnacentral:sRNA from 1 species